rnacentral:rRNA from 1 species
GACGAACGCUGGCGGCGUGCUUAACACAUGCAAGUCGGACGGAUCAGAGGGGCUUGCUCUUCUGGUUAGUGGCGAACGGGUGAGUAACACGUGAGUAACCUGCCCUUCACUCUGGGAUAACACCGGGAAACCGGUGCUAAUACUGGAUACGACCUAUUCGCGCAUGCGAAGUGGGUGGAAAGAUUUAUUGGUGGGGGAUGGACUCGCGGCCUAUCAGCUUGUUGGUGAGGUAAUGGCUUACCAAGGCGACGACGGGUAGCCGGCCUGAGAGGGCGAUCGGCCACACUGGGACUGAGACACGGGCCCAGACUCCUACGGGAGGCAGCAGUGGGGAAUAUUGCACAAUGGGCGAAAGCCUGAUGCAGCGACGCCGCGUGAGGGAUGAAGGCCUUCGGGUUGUAAACCUCUUUCAGCAGGGAAGAAGCGAAAGUGACGGUACCUGCAGAAGAAGCACCGGG